UACGGAGGGUGCAAGCGUUAUCCGGAUUCACUGGGUUUAAAGGGUGCGUAGGUGGGCAGGUAAGUCAGUGGUGAAAUCUCCGGGCUUAACCCGGAAACUGCCAUUGAUACUAUCUGUCUUGAAUACCGUGGAGGUGAGCGGAAUAUGUCAUGUAGCGGUGAAAUGCUUAGAUAUGACAUAGAACACCAAUUGCGAAGGCAGCUUACUACCCGAAUAUUGACACUGAUGCACGAAAGCGUGGGGAUCAAACAGG
rnacentral:rRNA from 1 species